GGAUGGGUAUAUACAGUAAAUGAUUCCUUACAAUACAACGCGCACACAAAGGGAUAGAAUCAGCUGCAAGUAAUCCGAAUUUCUGUUGCCGAUUUCAGCCAGAGGUGAUGCUGCCGUUGUCCUGUCAAACUCCUGUCCCGCAGAUGUACACGGCGCUCGGCACGUUAAGUUGCCAGUAAUGAGGCAGGAGCCGAGGGGCGCGCCGUGCGGUAGUUGUCACUGUCGGAGGUUACUGCAGCCUCUGUCCCAGGGUGUUCGGGAGAGCAAUUUGGAACGGAAACUGCCUUCUGGUCCGUGUUAACUACGGAUUUUUGCAACAAUUCCAGCUCCAAAGACAGAUAUGUGUUGCUCCUCAUUUUUGAAACCUCCUGGUGUCAAAUUCCACCCUCUCUGUCACAUGAUCCCACACACAAAACCGGAGCGCAGAGCGAGCUCUUCAGGUAGCUAUGACAUGAUAAAGCCUGGCCAAACUGCUGAAACGUCAGUGAUCAUCAGCCCUCGGGUAGAAGCUCGUGCUGAGAGAGCAGGAUGUGGCCUCGGCCCUGGAGAGCAGCGGCUUUGACCAUGUCAUGGCAGACUGUGGAUGAUAGCGUUGGGUUUCCUCCGGGCGGCGUGCAGCACUGACCUCUGUGGUCCGGCGGCCUCCGAGGUGCGUCGUCAGGGAAGUCUCCAAGGGCGCUGCGGACCUGCGGACCUGCAGGGCUGAGAGAGUAAUUCCUAUGGAUGCGUGUUAACUCCAGGACAUUUGCUGGCAAGAAAUCCACCUUCAGUCAGGAGAUCACCUCGCUGAAGAGCCUCUGUGUACCUUCAGCUACGUUGUAAACUGACUGCUAACAAUACAGCCAAAUACUCAUGCAGCACAGGGGACAUGCAAAUAAAGAUUAAGUCCUAAUGCCC